rfam:Ficedula albicollis isolate OC2 chromosome 1A, whole genome shotgun sequence.
CAAACGGCUCUUUUUAGAGCCACCACACGUUCCUAAUAGAGCUGUG